GAAGAAUUGCACGGGGUUUUCUCUGGGUGGGAAUUGUUACAUUGAAUGUGGGGGGAGUGUAUAUAAGGGAGUCUUUCUGGGCCAACCAGCAAUCUCGGCUUUAUGCGUGUCAAAGUAUCCUACAGUACAGUUUUCAGUGAUAACAGAGCGAGUCUCUUGUGUUCAUUUGGAAGCGGCUGGAGUGAGCUGACAUUAUGCCUCAAGUACCACCUCUCAGCAGUAAAGAACUGGUGGGAUCACAAACCUGCAAAAGUAUUGGAAAAUGAGCACGCAAAGAUACUGUGGGACUUCUGAAUCCAGACUGACAAAGUUCUGGAACACAACACACUAGACAUCACAGUUGUGGAAAAGAAAAAGGUUUGGAUCAUUGAUGUCGCCAUCCCAGGUGACAGUCGCAUUGACAAAAAACAACAGGAAAAACUCAGCCGCUAUCAGGACCUCAAGACUGAACUUCAAAGACUGGCAGAAACCUGUGCAGGUGGUCCCGGUGGUGAUGGGCACAUUGGGUGCUGUGCCAAAAGAUCUCAGCCGGCAUUUGGAAACAAUAGACAUUGACAAAAUUACGAUCUGCCAACUGCAAAAGGCCACCCUACUGGGAUCUGCGCACAUCAUCCGAAAAUACAUCACACAGUCCUAGACACUUGGGAAGUGUUCGACUUGUGAUUUUAUUAUACGAAAUCCAACAUAUCUAUCUUGUUUGCUGUGUUAUAAAAUAAAAUAAUAAUAAUAAUAAUAAUAAUAAUAAUAAUAAUAAUACUUAAACAAGCAAACCCUGUACACUUUUUAGGAGAUGCUGCUUACACUCUUAACUGGAGAAUGUGGUGCUAAAAGUUGUUCUUUUAUAACCGUGGAUCAGCUGAAAGCUUUCCUACGAAAAUCAAUAUCACUUCAAUAUGAGCAUAACGUGACUGAAGACCUCAGAGAGAAUUAAAUGUGUGCAUAAUUCUUCUCUUCAGAUCACUUGGGCUUAGAAGUGCUUAGCAAUGCUUAACUUUGUGUUUUGAUGAUGUCUCUCUAUUUCAGUAAAGCAUGUAUGGUCAUCUGGGUAUGUGGAAAUGUAACCUCUAAAAAAAGAAGCUGAAAUCUUGCUGAAUGGCUGUUUGCUGAGUAGGAUCCUUUCUGAUCAGAAAUGUAAAAUGUUGCCUCUAUCAAUGAGGGGUACGCUCGUGGACUUUGGAUAGUAUGUCAAUCUGUGAAUAAUAUAUUGAAACAAAGGUCUUCUGGCCCAAGAACACCAUAGGAGAAUGUUGAAAAUGCUUAAGGGAGAUAGACAUAUUUUGGCAGAUGUGAAUGAAUAAAACUAUCUAUCUAUCUAUCUAUCUAUCUAUCUAUCUAUCUAUCUAUCUAUCUAUCUAUCUAUCUGUUCCAUCUCCCAGGGUUUUGAUUUUACAAGUUGUCUAUAGUUGCAGGAAUAGCACCUGUUUGCAUUUCUUCCAGGGCUGUUGCAGAUUCUGCAGCAACCUGAUAGUUUAGCCAUUAGCAGAGUUUGUAGCCUGUUUGCAAAGCUUUGCUGCUUGUAGCCUGCAAAUGUAUCUUUUUGUUCUGGAGACCGCCCCUUUUCCUGGGGAAAGAAGGCUCCAUUUUGAGAAGCCUCUUGCCUUCUAGACUGAAGAAGAAACAACUUAGAUGUGCUUUUGUGGCCAAGCCAGGCCAACUCUGACAAAGCCAUUAUUUGAAGACUUCAUGGAGGGAUUGCCAGGCUUGGGAUGUGAGGCAAGGGAACUCAGAGCGGCUUACAACAUGGCAAUAUUCAAUCUCUUUUGAAGACAGUGGUCCUCUUGCACCUCAUAUAUUCACCAGGGUUUCUCAAAAAUGAUGGCAAGUGAUUAAGUGUUGUUCCUUCAAUAUUGCCAUAUAAACCACUGAGCUGCUAAAUAUGCUGACCGUAAGGUUAGCAGAUCGAAUCCAGGGAGUGGGGUGAGCUCCCCCUGCUUCUGCUAAUCUAGCAGUUCAAAAAUAUGCAAAUAUGAGUAGAUCAAUAGGUACCACUCUGGCGAGAAGGUAACGGCGCUCCAUGCAGUCAUGCCUGCCACAUGACCUUGGAGGUGUCUAGGGGCAAUGCCGGCUCUUCGGCUUUGAAAUGGAGAUAAGCACCAACCAACAGAGUCGGACACAACUAGACUUAAUGUCAGGGGAAUACCUUUACCUAAGUUAAUCUUCAUGUUAGUCUAAACUGAAGAUACGAUGCAGUUUCAAACUGCAUUAUAUGACAGUGUUGGUGAAGUUUGACCAAUUCAAAUUGGGGUGAACAGUUGAAUUUAUAUCAAGGUAUUUUUCCGGUUUGUGAGGUUCUUCACUUUUGCAAUGGCAUGUACCAAAUCCAUUCCCUAUUGCUACUCCUGACUAAAGUAUCACCACUGAAUUACAGAGAUUUCCCUCCUUUCAGCUUCAUUGUUCAAUUGUUGAUUCAAUGACUCUAGUUAGAAUUCCAGAUGUAUUUCAAUAAUACCUAAAACAGGAUGAUACAUGGCAGGAGAUUGGACUGGAUGGUCCUUGAAGGCUCUCCCAACUCUAUGAUUCUUUGUUUUAUGUUAUUUUCAUGAUAGCUGAACACUGUCAAACUCAUGUAAGCAUUGUGGGAGUUCUGUAGUUUUAAACCUGCAGAAAUUGUCAUCUCUCUUCUACCAUAGAUUUCCAUGGAAAGUCAUGUUAUCUAAAUUACCUGGAUGGAGCUCCCUGAGGUAUGAUGAUAUCUCACGCCUUUAACUGCUAUCUUUUCAUGUAACUUUGGCCUUCAUCCAUCUCAAAAUGAGACAGUAGGCGAGUCCCUUUAACCAAAGCCUGUAUCAUAAACCUUGCAAUUUUCUACUGUCAUGCUCAGGCAAUUUCAACACAUUUAAAUUAGAAAGGACCAUCCUAAUUUUGCUUCAUAGCCAGUGUAAUUGUUGUAAGAUAUAAUUAUCUCUCUCAGGCUUUUGAGAUUGAAAGAGUGAGUUGGGGGUUGGGGUAUGCGUAGAGGGGGCAGAAGGAGGAAGGAACGAAGGGAAAGGGAUGAUCAAAGUAUCCUCUACGGCUGUUUUAAUUCCAUUUCAGAAAUGGUUCUCCGUAGUGACCUACAGACCUUCUCCCCCAAAUCAAUGGUUGCUAGUUUUAGUCUUUUGUUAUCAUUUGGAGCACCUACAGCAUUUCAUAUGAUUGUGUCUACCUAUUGGAAGUGAAGCAGAUGAACACGUAAGAAGCUGCAAGGAGGUUUCAUCUCUACACAUUUCCAGCAAUGACCACGUUCAAGUCUGGUUUCCAGAGUUUCUGACAAAUGGAUUCAUUGAUGAGAGAGUCCCAUACCAGCGAUAAGGAUUGCUGUUGUGUUGCCUUCAAGUCUAAAGUUUAGGUUAAGAGUCAGGUAAAUUCCCUGGAGGGCCGCAUCCAGCCCGUGGGCCUUAGUUUGGGGAUUUUUGGUCUAUAGGAUGCUCAAUGGAAAUUCAUGGAAAAUGGGGAAAUCUUUGAGACGGUCACACAUUGGUAGGUUAAAAUUAUUUCUUGCAAUGCAAACAUGCCACCAUGAGAGGCCUUUGAAUCAUUCUUCAAGCAGCUCCAAGAGAUCUAGACCACCUAGCAAGUGAUUUCUCUAUAAUCCUUGUCAACUAAAAUAGUACAAGAAAAGAAAACAUGGAGGAAGUGGGAAAGACAAGAUGCAUUCCUAACAACUAUGGUGACUUAUAUCACAGGCCACCCAUGGAUGUUAGAGCCAAUGAAUCAUAUUAACAGGCAUAUUUACUAUGUUCUGUCUAAGGACUCUUUGGUGUCCAGAUAAGAGUUGAAGGGCACAAGAGAGUUAUUUGACCGCUCCCUCCAGUUCCUGACCUGAUUUUCAUUGAGAUAAGAAGGGAAAGAGCACAUCAGGCAUUCUUGUCUUGCUCCUAUUAACUUCUUCUCCUUAUGUAUUGCUAAAUUGCUCAGAAUAAUUUACAAUGCGAUCACUUUUAAAUAGAGAAGAAGAAAGUUCACUGGUUCUGGGUCAUGAUAGACCUAUUCGUCUAUGUAAUUCCAAUCUGGCCAGUUCUACAUCUGUGAAAUCACAAAUUCUUGUUUUCUGGUUUAUUUAAAUGCAUAAAAAUAAUACAGGUUAGCAUCCAAUAUUAUCCAAAAUAUCCAAAAUAUUUCAAAGUCAAAAUCGUGGACAUGGCAGCCUGAGAUAACAACACCUUGGCUUUCUGAUGGUUCAGUUUAUACAAACAUUGUUCCGUGCACACAUUAUUUUUUAAAAAUGUGUAUAAUAUAAAACGACCCAAGUUCAUGAAUUUUACACACAUACAAUAUUCAGAGUAGUGUGGGGAAAAGGACCAACAUGACAACAGUUUGUGUGAAAAGGAUCUUGGAGUCCUCGUGGACAACAAAUUAAACAUGAGCCAACAAUGUGAUGCUGCGGCUAAAAAAGCCAAUGGGAUUUUGGCCUGCAUAAAUAAGAGUGUGUCUAAAUCCAGGGAAGUCAUGCUACCCCUCUAUUCUGUCUUGGUCAGGCCACACCUGGAAUACUGUUUCCAAUUCUGGGCACCGCAAUUGAAAGGAGAUGUUGACAAGCUGGAAUAUGUCCAGAGGAGGGCAACUAAAAUGAUCAAGGGUCUGGAGAACAAGCCCUAUGAGGAGCAGCUGAAAGAGCUUGGCAUGUUUAGCCUGCAGAAGAGAAGGCUGAGAGGAGACAUGAUAGCCAUGUACAAAUAUGUGAGGGGAAGUCAUAGGGAGGAGGGAGCACACUUGUCUUCUGCUGCCCUGCAGACUAGGACACGGAACAAUGGCUUCAAACUACAGGAAAGGAGAUUCCACCUGAACAUCAGGAAGAACUUCCUCACUGUGAGAGCUGUUUGGCAGUGGAACUCUAUCCCCCGGACUGUGGUGGAGGCUCCUUCUUUGGAGGCUUUUAAGCAGAGGCUGGAUGGCCAUUUGUCGGGGGUGCUAUGAAUGUGAUUUUCCUGCUACUUGGCAGAAUGGGGUUGGACUGGAUGGCCCAUGAGGUCUCUUCCAACUCUCUGAUUCUAUGAAUCUAUGAAAUGCGUUUAUUUUGCUUUAAAGUAAAUAAGCAUUUUGAGAUUUCAUCAGAAAGGAGUUCUAAUAAUUCUGGGUUUGCUAUAGAUUUCUCAUCAUAGUCUCCGUGCCUCGUUGUCCCCCCCCCCCUUUUCAGUCACAUCAUUGUAGGAAGAUGCACGUCCAUCCAUGCAGAAGAACCACAACCUGUGAGAAAGUGAUUGCAGUCAUUUUCUUAAGAAUAUGUGUGAAUUCACUCCAGGCCCAUCUCUUCGCUGAUGUCUUCAGGCGAAGGCAGCAUCAUGCUACGAAGCGAAUGUGGAGAUUCUAUUCAUAAACAAGGGAAUGGUGCAUUAAUAAGGAAUAUUCAGCAAGAAGAGGGAUCAAGGGAAGGUUUUACACACCCGACACCCCUGGCUCAACAAAUAAGGGGCUGGAAGCAUGCAUUUAAGGUAACAUCAAUCAAUGAGUGUUAUUGUCCCGGCAAAUAAAUGCUACAACAAAUCAAUACCAUAAAGCAAGGCAGGGAUUCCAACCUGGCAUGAAAGGGAGAUGAAAUGAACAAAUUCAUAAAGAGACAACUACCCUUUUUCAAAACUCUCUAGAAAUGUUUAGGUAUUUUCACUAUAUUCUAAUAGCAUAUACAAAGUAAACUAACACUACAAUAAAAGGAAAAGAAAGGCAAUGAGAAAAAAAAGUCAAAAAGGACCAAAUACAGAACUCGAUGGUGCAGUGUGUUAAAGCGCUGAGCUGCUGAACUUGUGGACCAAAAGGUUGGCGGUUCAAAUCCGGAGAGUGGGGUGAGCUGUUAGCCCCAGCUUCUCCCAACCUAGCAGUUUGAAAACAUGCAAAUGUGAGUAGAUCAAUAGGUACUGCUCUGGUGGGAAGGUAACGGCACUCCAUGCAGUCAUGCCUAUGGCCACAUGACCCUGGAGGUGUCUAGGGACAACGCCGGCUCUUCGGCUUAGAAAAGGAGAUGAGCACCAACCCCCAGAUUCAGAUACGACUGGACUUAACAUCAGGGGAAAACCUUUACCUUACCUACAGAACCUCCAUAACCCAAACAGUAAUCUACUUUUCAAUUAACUCCACAACUAAACUGUUGGGGUGUUGUGUGACCUCCUAUCCCAGAAACCAAAGACAUUGUUAUAAAACUACAUUAAACAUCUCAUUACUCUUUAACUAAAGUUUAAAUGUCUGCCUAUCAACGUCAAUAAAGCUAUAUCUUCAAACCUUGCAAGCGUUGUUAUUCCUUCUUCUCUAUACAGGAAAAAAUGAUUGCCAAUCUUAAAAUAUUGUAAAAUAUCCAAACUCUUCUCUCUCAUCAAAAUAGAAAAUAUUUCCUUUUUGUCACUUCAAAAAUCUUUAAAAUCCAUUCUUUUUCAGUUGGAAGAUUCGUAUUCUUCCACUUCUGGCCAUUAGGCAUGUCCGAUUGAUGAAAAAAAUGUUUCAAUUCUCGUUUCUAAAGUAGGGGGCGCUGGCGCUUCAAUAUAGAAAGUAUUUCCGAUUUUUUUCACCCAAAAAUUUCAGAUAUUUCCGAAAAUUCGUAAUGAUGCUAAAU